GAGUGCAGUAGUGUUUACAACCAAUUGAUCACAACCAGUUACAGACUUCUUUGUUCCUUCUCCACUGCCACUGCUUGCUUU
rnacentral:sRNA from 1 species